rnacentral:rRNA from 1 species
GUAGGUUGGCAAGCGUUGUCCGGAAGUUAUUGGGCGUAAAGCGCGCGCAGGUGGGUUCUUUAAGUCUGAUGUCGAAAGCCCCCGGGCUCAACCGGGGAGGGUCAUUGGAAACUGGGGAACUUGAGUGCAGGAGAGGAAAGUGGAAUUCCACGUGUAGCGGUGAAAUGCGUAGAUAUGUGGAGGAACACCAGUGGCGAAGGCGACUUUCUGGCCUGUAACUGACACUGAGGCGCGAAAGCGUGGGGAGCAAACAGGAUUAGAUACCCUGGUAGUCCACGCCGUAAACGAUGAGUGCUAAGUGUUGGGGGGUUUCCGCCCCUCAGUGCUGCAGCUAACGCAUUAAGCACUCCGCCUGGGGAGUACGGUCGCAAGACUG